CCCUCUGAAUCAUCCAAAGAAAUAUUUUUGAUUCUGUGCAGUAGAUUGGUGAAAUGAUCCAUGUUAAGAAAUGGCUUUCCCCUACCUCCUCCCCAAAAAAUCUGGCACUGGCACAACAAGGGGGGUCAAUAACUGCAAGACCAUAACAGGGGUCUGGAGUAAAGUGAAAUGGAUAUGCUGUAAUCAAAUUUCCUUGCAAAGAACAAAAAUUUUAAUUGCCCUCUAAAAGCCCCUUAUGAUUUUAUUCUUGUGCAGCAGUCCAUAAGCACCCGAAACGGAUCAACUCUUGUGGUAGUUUUAGUCUAGGCCUUCCUUGGUGACCGGUUUGUAACCAAGGAAGUGGCCAUAUACCCAGUAUUCCCUACGAUUUUUAACGUAAGACGGGGGUAUAAAGAAGAAGGGAGGAGAGGCCUUUGCUCUCUUCCCUUCUGGUGGAUCUGAAGGUGCAGGUUCCCUGCUGUUGGUUCUGCUGUGGGGGGGAGUGAGGCCUAGUGAGGCCUUGUAGACCUUGGGAGGUGGAGGGUGCCGGCGGUCAUUCAGCGUGACUUCUGCUGUCCCAAGGAGAGUAUUUCUAUAGAUUUUUUUCCCCUUUCCUAAAGGGGGAGGGACAGAAAAGGCUUUUGCUGAGCCUUGGAAGUUUGGUGAGAAGCCAGCUCAAAACGUGUUCAACCCUUCAUCAUGUCAAGCUCUCAACAAAUAUGUCUCCAAAACUAUUUUAGCCUGAUCAGACAUUUCAGUCCAAAACUUGGAGUGGAAGACAGAGAAGCAUCUUAGGUCAUAGAGAUAAGUGACUAAUAGAGCUGGGAGAGAAGUUCAAUUAGCCUUGUGACAUCUUGUCCAUUCAACUACCAUGAACUACUAAGAGACUUUCCCUUUCUUUAGCUUCCAGAGCACAUUUUUACUGACAUUCAGCAUCCCAAAAGACUGAAGGUCAAGUAACCUCUUCAGGUCAAGAAGUGGGGUAUGAAAGGCAGAGAGCAUAUUGUUCUUGUUAGAAAUCUCAAAAUUAUGUUCCUGUGGUUUAGGGUAUGGUUGUUCUUUUUUUCUUUCUUUCUUUCUUUAUUUAUUUAUUUACUGUUGCACUUCUUUUUUUACACCAGAAAUCUCUGGAAAAAAGCAAGUAAAAUCAUGCUUUCUUCAUUAUUUUAUGAGACUGCUUUGCAUGAAGGGUUAUUUAACCUUUUGAGUUAGUAACGAAGAGCAAGCUUUCAAACAUUUAUAAAUGUAUUUUCAGAUGUGCCAGUAGCUGUUAUAUAAAGAGUUUGCAAUUAAGAAUUCUAUGAACAGAAUAUUUAAGAAAAACUUGCUGUUAAGAAUGUAAAAUAUGUAGUUUAUUCAUUGCCUAUCUAAAGCAAAAGGUGCCAGACUGCUGUUGGAAACAAUUUUGGAAAACUAAAAAAUGCUUCUCUUUAGAAAGCUUCUAGCCUUUCCAAAUUUGUGCAGUGACAAAAGAAUAUGAAAAGUUUGCAAUGAAUACUUGUCAUCAACAAAAAGAACUUAGGAACAUUGAAUUAAAGCUCAGGCUUCUCUUGCUCUUGAGCUCCAUAUUUGGCAGACCAUUUUUCCUCUCAGAAAAAAUCCAUAGUGACAGGAGAUGAAAGUCACAUGUAAAAGAUGUGCCAAAAAUUUUACAUCCAAAAUACUCUCUCUAUUGUCUUGUACCUUGACUUUUGUUAUUUUUGUUUAGAAAUUUCUGUUUAGAAAUGAUUCAUGGGGCAGAGCUAGAAAAAUGGAAUUUGCACAAUCAAACAGAAAAAAUGCUGGGGAAUCAGAGCAGACAUGUUGUGAAGCCAUGCAUCACACUUAAAUGAUUCUGAAUAAAUGAUCUGUAAAAUCACACCUGUUUAUUUGUAGAUAAUCUACAACAAAAGGAAUAAAAAAAAAAUUAAAAUUCCUGUGACAGCUUGACCAAUUUAAGUUUUUGCAUAAAGAAACCAGCAUGUUUAAAACAAGCUUACACCUUGAAUAAUAGGGCCUUAAAGGGUUGUUCUGCAAUAUUGUAGUUAAGAGAGUAUGUCAGCCAGAAUUAUAUGUGCGCAGAUUUGAAAUAAAAUGAAUGGGUUGUAAAAGACUUGACUGCCCUUGAUCUUUGCACUUGUUCCUCACUGAUGUCUUAAAGAUCUACACAAGUGUAUCAAGACAUCUAUCGUCUCUAUGUAGCUGGCUGGCAAAGUUCCCCAUGCAUAGUGGAUUUGAGUUUAACUUGGUUAUGAUGUAGGGCAAGUAUUACACAUUUUUCAGAAUUUAUGUAGCAAGUUUCAAAGUACUAUUUUGUAAUUUUAAAUAAUAUGUGAUUUUGAAAGGGGUAAAGGUGUUCAUUUCCAGUCCUGCAAAUGUGUUUCUUUCUGAUAAGCAAGUGAGAAGACUGAAAUAUCGUUAGAUUCUGGCAGUACAAAAUGGCAUACCCCCACGCACAGUCUUUGACAGAAAGAAUGUGCUUCCUUUUUUUAAUUUGCAUUUCUAAAUUUGCAGUGGCAGGUUGUGCUGUUUUUGACUGGGGUAAGGGGUGCACAAGGAGAUAGGAGGGGACACAACCAGGACAACUGACUUCAACUGACCAGAGGGAUAUUCCAUACUUAGUGUCAUACUUAGCAUAUAGUGCUGGGGCAAGAAGUAGAAAGGGGGGGACGCUGGGAGUGGUGACAUUUGUGAUCUGUCAUAGUUUAACCACAGCCAGCCACCAUGCCCCACACAGCUGCUUACUCACUCUCCUGCCGUGGAGAUCAGGGAGAUAAUCGGAAGGGUAAGAGCCAGAAAACUCGUGGUUGAGAUAAAUACAGUUAAUAGGAAAAGGAAAACCCACACGCACAAGGAAAAAAGAACAAAGAAUUAAUUCAUAGCUUCCCAUGGGCAGGCAGAUGUUCAGCCAUCUCCAAAAGAGCAGGGCCCCAUCACAUGUGACAGUUACUUAAGAAGACAAACUGCAUCACUCAAAACAUACCACUCUUCCUCCUUCUUCCCCUCCCACUGCAUGUACUAAGUAUGAUGUGAUAUGGUCUGGAAUAUCCCUUGGUCAAUUUGGGUCAUCUCUCCUGGCUGUGUCUCCUCCCAGCCUCCUAUGCAUCCCCAAGUUCCUUGCCAGCAGAGCAGUACGAGAAGCAGAAAAGGCACAGUCUCUGUGUAAGCACUGUUCAACAAUAACAAAAAGAUCUCCAUACUGUCAUCCCUCUGUUCAGCACAAAUCCAAAACAUAGCCCCAUACUAGCCACUGUGAAGAAAAUUAACUCUACUUCAGCCAAAAUCAGCACGUCUUCCCAAGUCAACAUUGUGCAUGAAGGAGUCUGUGUUUUGUGGGGAUGGCUAAACACCUGCCUGACAUUGGGAAGCAGUGAAUUAAUUCCUUAUUUUGCUUUUCUUGCAUGCACAGCUUUUGCUUUAACUAUCAGGCUGUCUUCAUCUCAACCCAUGAGUUUUCUGCUUUACUCUUCCAGUUCUCUCCCUGAUCCCCCUGCUGGGGGAGUGAGAGAGCGGCUGCGUGGGGUUGAGCUGCCGUCUGGGGUUAAACACAAGACAAGUAUGUGUUCUGAAUUUAAUAUUUCUCCCCUAGUUGUUAUGCAGCAUGGUUUACAUUAUUGAACUCUAGGUAGCUGAAGCAAUACUUAAACUGAUAAUAUAUAUGCCUUCACACAGGGCAACUGGAUUCUGUGGAUCCUUUCUGAACAGUGAUGGGGCAAAUUAAGGAAAAAGAAAAGCAUUAAGCAAUGCUUGAAAAAGUACUUUGUCAGCUUCUGACUAUUUAAAACUUUUCUCAUAGGUUUGAUUUGAAACAUCUUGGGUAGUUCUUAUGCUCACACUAGUCAGAAAAGACUCAGUUACAUGGUAAGUAGAACCAAAAAUAGCAAAGAAAUUAUCAGAUAAAUGCUCAGGUACCAGUUUUCUCACAGCAAAAGGGCAAAAUAGUAGAAGGACCAAAGACAAUUCUGUAUGAGAAGGGAGAGAAAUGAAGCCAUUCAUUUCAGAGGGUAAAUACUGAAACUUAGAAAGUUGAAAAGAAAAGCAUUUAACAGAUGCUGAUAUAGCAGAGGGACUAACACUGUUUCAGGAUGUCUAUUAAAUUACCUGCUGUGACAUACACUAAUAUAAAGAAUGGGAAGAGGAGCACUGCUGCAUGUGAGAUACCUUGCCCCAAAGUUCACCAUGCACUUGAGGCCCAGCUACAUGGGUCUCCUCUGCAACAUCCAUAGAAUACAGGUGUUCUGGAAAGAAAUUAGUACAGGGUCUUUGUUGGUUUUUUUUCCUACUUCUAUAUUUGAGUCUUUUCCAGAAAAGAGAACACAGCAAAAAAUACAAGGCUAAAAAGGCCUAAAUUUUAUCUAGACAGACAAUGCCACAUUAACAGAAGUUGGUUGGUGAAAAUGAGAAGGCAUUUUCAUUUCAUAUCUACAGCAGAUUGAUCAGCUUCCAAGCCCAUUCCCAAGGAGUGAAGUGGCAUUUCUUUGUAUUGUGAAACCAGCAAACAUCACAACUAGGGUAAAGAAUCCUUCAAGUGGUGCAUAAUCUGGUACACAACAAGUGUCAUUCAAACUCCCUUAUGUGAGCGAGAUCCACCAGGAGAGGUUCUAUGUGUCUAGUACGGUAUGUCUGAAGAAGAAAAACUAUCCCAAAGGAUAUUAUUCCACUCAUCCGUGUCAAGAGAAGUUAAAUAAUUUUUUCAGAGAAUGAGGCUAUCCAUUGGUUAUCCAUUUCUUAUAUUUUCAUCAUAGAAUAUAUUUUCAAAUAAGAGAGGCUAUGCAGGUCAUUCCUGCACAGGCACAUUCCCUUCUUAAUCCCUGAAUUAAUAUCAGCUAACAAACAAUUGAGCAGUAGGCACUUGGGUGCAUUUCCAUGAUUUAUUGUAGCUUUUUUUGGUGUAUAGUUAUGACUUCUACAGGGUUACUGCCAUUGUAUUUUAAAUAUAUCCAAUUAUUUUCCUUGGCUUCAUAUAGAAUUCUCCUUUUACCUUCUUCAUAUAAAAUAUUUUCACUUAAUGUUCACAUUAAGAUUCACUUAAUACUAAUCUUUUAACUUUUCACUUAAAAAGCGUUCAAGGCCAGGUUGGAUGGUGCUCUAAGUAACUGGUUUAGAGGAAGGUGUUUCUGUUCAUGAUAGGGGCAUUGGAAUUAAAUUAUCUUUAAGGUCUCUUCCAACCCAAACCAUUCUAUGAUUCUGUGAAUAUGCAGCAUCUUUCAAAUUGUUCUAAUAUCAAAUGCCUCAGUUGUUUCUGUCAUGUAAAGUAACUGCUUCUGGCCCAUAGUGUAAUGAUGCCUGCUGGUGCACAGAUUUGGUAUGUUUGCCCUUUGAGAAGUAAAGUUUUUAUCAGUUUAUAGUUUUAUCAGUUGCUGUGAAGUACAUCUUUUAUUUUUAUUCUGAAGGAAACCUCAGGAGUAGUCAAGUUUCCUCUGGGCACACAGGAGUCUUGCAUAUUGUUUGACUUCACAGAUGCCACAUUUCACUUGCCCUUCCUAUUUCUUCUUUUCAUAUUGCAGCCACUUCAUCUCCUUGGCAUUUUUUAUGAGUCAGAGUUGACCAAACCAAUCUUCCAAGGUUAAUUAUUAAUUUGAUUCAUCAAUAAUUCAAGCAUUUCUUUUCAGUUGUGUGAUGUCAUCUGUGUUAGUUAAGGACCUUAACUUUAGAUCAUCUCAAGUCAUGCCCUCUAACUCAUUUAUCAUUCUUACUGUCUAGUUUAAAAAUAUGAUGAAAAGCUGUAGUGAUUCUAUGCUUCCUUAUAUUAUAACAAGCAUUGGAGUUGUUUAAUUUUUCAUUAUUUUUUUUUACAAUGCUGCAAGAGUCUUCAAACACAGCUUUUAUAAUUGCAGUUAUAAGUUCUGAAUGCCACGUGACUUUGUAGCUUUCCAUGAUGUUUCCAAUCAAACUGAAACAAAAGUCCAUGAAAAGGACAAACAUCAUUAUUGACCUUCUCAUUUUCUUCAAUAGCCAGCAGAACAUGCAUUCCCAGGCAGUGCAGCUUAGGUGUGGUUUGAGGUUGCCCUAAAUGUCUUCCUCUUUUACUCUUUAAAAUGGCUUCUCUCUGCAAAUUAUUGCCAUGAUUUUCCUGAGUUAUAUUUCAGCAGAAUCUUUUUACCAGGUCUGUUCAAUUAUUGAUGGUAGUCAGUUCUUCUAUAUUUCUUCUUCCCCUUAUACAUAAUUCCAUCAAAAUUGACUGGAAAGUCAAAAUGCUCCCAACAUUUUCUUUAGCAUCAUAUUUUUCUUUAGCCACUGUGAUUAGUCUCAGCUUAACCAUUUUGCACAUUCAUUCUAUUUUUAUAUUCACAGGAUCACAUAAUGGCUCAGGUUGGAAGGUACCACAGUGGGUCAUCUGGUCCAACCUCCCUGCUCAAGCAGGGUCAUCCUAGAGUACAUGGCACAGGAUUGUGUUCAGAUGGUUGUUGAAUACCUCCAGUGAGGGAGACUCCACAAUCUCUUUGGGCAAGCUGUUCCAGUGCCUGGUCACCUUUCUGCCUAUUGCCUCUUACCCUACUGCUCAACACGACAGAGAAGAGCCUGGUCCAUCCUCUUGACACCCUACCUUCAAAUACUAAUAGACAUUGAUGAGAUUCCCUAUCAGUUGUCUCUUCUCAAGGUUGAACAGGCCCAAAUCUCUUAGCCUUUCCUUGUAAGAGAGAUGUUCCGGUUCCUUAAUCAUCUUUCUCUCUGUGAUCUUUAAAUAUCAACAAACUCUCUUGGACCCCUCUGAAAGUACAGGCAAUUUACAGAAGUAUUUGAUUGUGCCAAUAUCCCAGCAGGAUAUGGAUGGCUCAUAUUCCUAUCUUCUGGUUACAUCUUUGGGUGCUUGUGCUUGCUCGAUGUGUUCCCUCUUAACCCUCCUUUUGCUAAUAGGAUGGUCACUAUAGUUCUCCCUUUCCCACAGCUCAUCUCUGUUGAGCCUGGCCUUGUUCCCAUCCUCCUUCACGUCUAAUUUAAAGCUCUAGAUUACUGAUCUCUUUAAGUGCUGUUUUGUUUCCAAAACUUUUAUCAGUCUCAUUUUAGAAAUGUCUUCAUUCCUUACAAUGUCAUCAUACUUUCAGCUUUCCCUAGAACUAUGAUUUCUUUUUGUAUCUCAAUUUUUAUAAAACAUAUCUGACUAUUUCUGUCUUUAUAUCUUCCAAUAAUUUUCUUUCCUGAACUUAGUUUUGGUUUCCUGAAUAUUCCCUGUCCAGUCUGUAAUGAGAUUUCUUCAUCAACCUGAAUUAGUGGACUGCAAAAAUGUCUAAAUGGCACCUUGAAUAUCUUCCUCAUAGAACUUUCCUUUUAUUAAAAUUGAAUUUGAUUUCAACUACAACCAAUUUUGUAAUCUCAGAGUUGUUUUUUUCACUUAACUUUCUUUCCCACAGGGCUUUCAUGAACAGUGGCAUUUUCUACUCUCCUACGUUUAACAGCCAAUGCCUUUAUUAAUAAUAAAGUGCUCUCUUUUCCUUUUAGUGUUGGUAAGUGGCAAAUUCCAUAAAAGCUCCUGAUGUCUUUAGGAGAAAUCCACCUGCAGCCUGUAAUCAAACUGUGCAUCUCAAGGGAACCCUGAACUUUGCCCUGGACACUAUGAGAGAAAGAAAUUGCUGAGGGGGGAUGUUACCCAGAUUUAAACUGGGUUUAGUAUUUUUGUCAAGAAACCGAAUAACAACAUCUGUUUUUAAAAAAGUAAUGUCUGCUUUCAAGAAUCAUCAACUACCUGCACUGACAUAUCCUUCUCCUAAUAAUCCAUAAGGGACUAUUGAAAUAAUAACGAGUUACAAAUUUGUGAGAAUUGCUUUUGUAAAAAGAUGAUUUCACCAUUAAAAUAAUUAUGUUUUUAAAUUAUUAGCCCUCACAGUCACUAUUUAAAAGUAGACUGUGUCUAUUGUUUUUGAAUUUCUGAUCAAUUUUGUCUCAUGUUGUGGGUGGGUUGCUGUCAGAUGUUUGGCAGACUACAAUGAAAAUUAAGUUUUUUAGUCUAUGGGAAUACCCAUUAACCAUACACAUUUCCAAACUUUAAAAUGCAUGCUUGAAAAUUACAGUUGAUUAGAUUCUUUGUUGUGAAUUGCAGAACAAAAGCUGAAAAUCCAGCUCUGCUUUUCAUGUAUUAUAUCAAACAAUGAUGCAAUUCCACCAUUGUAUAGAAUAAAAGGUGUGUUCAUGUUUGAAGAACACAGUGUCCAUAAAGUUUAAUCUGCAGUCUUAUGUUCAGAGAGGUUUGUAAAUCGAUUCUUCACUAGAUGCUGUAACUCUUGUCGACUGAAGAUAAAUGGCUGAAUUCCAAGAGAAUACAACACAAAGAAAACCAUUAGCCCUGACAAUUCAUAAACAAAGUAAAGAAUAUUAUUCACUCUUUGUUCUUGUAAAAUAGUACCCAGGUUUCAAACAGGAAAAAGAAAGCUCAAAUAAACCAUUGCAAUUAUUUAGUCAAAAUGUGUUUGUUUAUGAACAAAAAAAGAAAAAAGGCUGGUUUCUUUAUAAGAAGUAAAAAGAAGGAGAAGAGGCAGGAGAAACCUCCAUAGUAAUCCCAACAGCUAUGUUAAUAGGUACAGCUUUGUUUUCAGCCUUUUUUGUUUUAUUAUCUCAAUCUUGCUGACCUAUUUCUUCACUGAAAAAAGAGUGUCUGAAGCACAUCGAAUGCUUCUAGGUCAGAGGUUCCCAGCGUCUGUGCACCAUGGUGACAGUCUCAGGAGAUUUUCCACCAGUAAGAGUUUUCACAAAUCUCUCAUGAAAACAUUCGGGUUACUGGAGGGUAGGAGGGUUGGGGCUUGGUGUGGGGUUUAUUUUGCACUAUAUGCAUUUGUCUUCAGCCUUUGUGAAUUUGAGAUUCCCUGGAUCACUUGGCUGCCUAGUCCCAGAAAUUAAAAUAUAUUUUACUUUUCUUUCUGUGACAUUAAAAAUGCAUUGCAAUGAAUAAUAUAGUAGGGCUGUGUAUAAAACUAAGGCUUCUGCAUUCCUUUUAAAUGUUUGUUCUUUAGCAGAGAUUCUCUGAGGGAAACUUAUUGAAAGGAUGAACAGUAAUUUAAUUUUUUAUCAUAAGCAUUAGUGGAAAAUAAAGGACAAAAGUACUUUGCAGGGUUGAAGAAAAGGAAAAGAUAUUUAUCAUGGGAAAAUACUGCAUCUGGGCUGAAUCUCUGGCACUGUGCAUUCUUUUUCUGUUCAAAGAGUGGCAAUAAGGAGAUUAAUAUUUAGAGUCUAGAAUCAUUUCCUAUUUAUGUCAUAAGCAGCAAGUACUAAAGUAACUUACCAUGAAAGUGUGCUUAAAAAAAGGGUACAGUCAAUAGAUAAAAGUACAGCUUUUGUGAGAAAUCAUUUUUAAAUUCUGCAAAUAAAUUCAGUAACUACUGGGUGUCCCCAGUAAUAUUCUGGAGGAGUGUUAAAAGUAAUAACAGGUCAAAUCAUCAAAUCAUACAUAUCAGUUUUUCUGAUACAUGGAAGACCUGCACUUUUGGAAGACAUCCUAUGAAAGUUGUUCCAGGAAUUUACCAGAUGUUCACAGAUUUGAAAUAUCAUGCCGCAUCGCUGAAAUUUCAGGGAGAAGAAAUAAGUGCUGCUGAAAGAUGAAAGAUUAUUGAAGUUAAGAUAUGUAUAGAACUCUUCAGUUCAGGUGCCAUUUGUGAUGUUCUUAUUCACUCAUGCACAACUUUUUCUGAUAUCAGUGUGAACUCAUACAUAACAAGGAGUAGGUCUUUUUACACUGCCAAAGGGCAGGAAAGAAAAAUAAAAGCAGCAAUGUUCCUUCUGCUUCCCAAAAGAAACUAUCAGUUGAUAAACUGAAGUCUAAAAACACGGCAUCGAACCUACCAAGUAUUUAAUUUUCUUUGCAAAUACCUCAUGAAUUGACAUCCUUUAUAAAAGCCAACAGACAGAUUGGUUUCAGUAGGUCAAAUGGAUUUGUUGAGGCACAUACUCCUGUUUCAUUCCUGCAUCACAGGUGCUAUCCAGCUUUGUUAUUUUUUUUUUUGCCUAAAAGGUAGAUAAAUUUUUUCUUCAGGACAGUCUCAGACCAAGCCCAAAGAUGCUUUCAUAUUUCACUGAGCUAUGCAAAAUACCCACCAAUAAUAUUGUAGCACAGUAAAUUGUCAAUAAAAUACUGGAGUUUCUGGAGUAUCUGUUUAAAAAAGCCCAUUUGUAAAGUCCACCUGUAAUAGUAAAUCACUAGUGACUGUUAUGUAUUGUAUCAGUUUCUCCCAGUUCUUGUAGUUACACAUCUCUUUCUCUCUCUCUCUCUCUCUUCCUCUCACAUAACACACAGACAAUUUUCCUGUUACAAAUUGUAAGAAUUGUUUUUCCUGACAUCUAUCCCAAAAACAUGGCUAUUCUCUAGCAAUUUGCCAAAACUUGAUAAUGCUAAAAUAACGUCUUGCACAUACUAUCCCAAAAAUGAGAAGAGAACUGAGUUGCAGAAGAAAUCCUUCAUGUAGAAGCCUUGAGACAAGAAUACUAGCUAUGAACAAAAAUAUCCUAUGUGAUGGGAAUUUCUGUGUGAACUGCUUCCAAAACCCAAGUUAAUCUAUAUUGAAAGUGCCAUUUUCAAGCUGAAUGAGCUGUUACAAAGCGUUACUGUUUCUAUUUUUGUCCUUGUUAUUAUUCUAAGCACACUUAUUGUUUGGGGAGCAAUGAAAAUUGUAUAAUGUUCAAAAGCAGAAAGUAUCAGUAUUUAGUGCAAGCCUUUUGUCACUCUUCUCACAGCAAAUCACUUGGAAUAGCAAUGGUGUAAAAAAUGACAAUAGCCCCACCAAACUUGCAGCAUUCUGCACUUCAGUUUACCAGGCCUGCACCAGCUGCAGGAUAAAACCAGCAUGACUAAGUCAGUCAAGGAAAAUGCUUUACCCUCAAGGCUUUCUAGUCCACUCCACAAUAUGGGGAUGUCUCAGCCACUUUCAAAGGAAUGGGAGAUUUGUAGGGCAGACCCUACCAAUUAUGUGUAACCAGGAGUGAAUGCAGACUUCAGAACACCAAAACUUUCCACAUAUCACUAGGCAGUCAUAUUACUGAUAUUUUUUGCAACUUCCUGAUACUUUGAAAAUCCUCAGAUUGUAAUUUAGAUUAUUAAAACCUUGGUUUGAGAGAGCAAUGGGAAAGCAAAAUUUCAGUACUGCUCUUUCUCAAAAGAAGGACUGUGUCCAAAAAAGGGGUUUUGGCUUUGAACACAUUCUUGUCUAAUGCAAUUUAAUCUAACCACCAAGUCAAAGCUUAAUACAGAAAGAAGAUCUUAUCCUGAAACAACUGGUAUGGUUGCAUACGUUUUCUGUGCACAUGUUUGUGUUCUGUUUACCUAUGUAUAGAUGUGGUCAUGACUUAUGUGGGCACAAGCCAAAAAUAGUUAAAAGCACAGUGUAUGUUCUAAUGAUGUUUAGUGUCGUGACACUAAGUGAAACAGCAGAAGUAGGAAAUCUCAUGGCAAACUUAUUCUUGUGCUAUGGAACUGAACAAGUCCUCUAGCAAGAAGAAGCCCAAGAAAAGAAACAGUUAUACAGUUUGUAUUCUUUCUUAAGAUGAAAAGUGAAAUCAAUUUGGGAAGUAAAAAUACAGGUCACAGGAAGAACAGGAAAGGAACAAAGAGACAGAAGGAGUAGUUGCAUAGAGAAAUGUCAGGUAAGCCUAUUUGGUGAAAGCACUUGAAAGCACUUUGAAAAAUAACAAUGGUCUCCAAGGAUUUCUGAUGGAGCAGUCUCACAUCCUGUAAUUUGCACUGAAGGCUCUCACAUACAAGCAGCAUCUUGAAAUGUCACCUUUUCUCAUCUCUAAUGUCUCCAGUGGAUGUCCAGCUAAGCAGCUGGGGAUCUCGCAGCAGCUAAGCUGUUAAACUUUUAUCACCUGAAAGAGGAAACCUUGUCACCUUGAACAGGAUUUUCUUCACAGGAAUCUAGUACUAUGAAUUGGAGUCAGGACUUUUCUGCUAUUACCAUCCAAAAUGUAAAACCCAAGUGUUAAUAUUCUGUAAUGAAGACAUGCAGAAGAGGAAGUAAAUACCUCCAGAAAGGUAAGGAGCAUAGGCAGGUAGUGUUGUUGGUCCAGAACUUGUGAACUGUCUCGCGUCUAACACUGUGACCUUGGGUAAGCAGCCUGACUUGCCUGCAUUUCAGUUUUGUCUUCUCUAAAUUAGUGCACUUUGGUGCCAAAGAUACUUUAAGACAUGUAAUCAAUGCAUACACACAGUUUUGAGGGUGUUACUUUUUGCAGGUAUUAAUUUUGAUAUUUGGUAUUCUAAGCUAUUGUUUGAUUUUUCUCCUUUGGUACGUGCUGGUGACUUCUCUGUACAUUUAAAAUCCUGAACAGUUCACAGAGCCAAAAUAGAGCAGGACUCUUGGAGAUAACCAAACUGUGAGGCCAAUAUGGAAAAGGCUAGAGAGUUGUGAAAAGCGAUGUGUGGAAGAGAUAGUGGAAGGAAGAAAAAAUGAUGGCAAGAAAGGACAUGACUGCUUGUGAUUGCAGUCCUCAAGUCAGCUCAGUAAUGCUUCUGGGAAAGCAAAAAUGGGAUGCAAGAUGAAUGAGAGACUGG